rnacentral:lncRNA from 10 species
GACCACACACGUGGUGAACCAUGAACCUUCAUAAGAGGAAAAUGUUAAGAGUGAUUUACUCUCGAUUCAGCAAAUCGUUACAUUCCAUAAACCUUCACAGUCAUUCAGUAGUGAGAAUUACUUUCAGGUUCAUGAAACUUAUGAUGUAGCUAUUUAAGCUGAAGUAACUUGAGGUUAACCAAAUGGCUUUUUUCCUAUUCUGUUUCCUUGUUCCCACCUUGCAAAACCCACUACUUUGCUAUUGCCUAGAAAAAGAAAAAGUAUUGAAUGACUUACUUUACAUACUUAAUAUAAUUUAUCUCUGGGUAAACUGCAAAAAAACUUUACAGUGUUAUAAUAU